rnacentral:rRNA from 1 species
AUACGUAGGUGGCAAGCGUUGUCCGGAUUUACUGGGCGUAAAGGGCGUGUAGGCGGAGAUGCAAGUCAAAAGUGAAAUCUAGGGGCUCAACCCCUAAACUGCUUUUGAAACUGUAUUCCUUGAGUAUCGGAGAGGCAGGCGGGAUUCCCUGGGUAACGGGGAAAUGCGUAGAUAUUAGGAGGAACACCAGUGGCGAAGGCGGCCUGCUGGACGACAACUGACGCUGAGGCGCGAAAGCGUGGGGAGCAAACAGGAUUAGAUACCCUGGUAGUCCACGCUGUAAACGAUGAAUACUAGGUGUGGGGGGACUGACCCCCUCCGUGCCGCAGUUAACACAAUAAGUAUUCCACCUGGGGAGUACGAUCGCAAGAUUGAAACUCAAAGGAAUUGACGGGG